AUGGACCACGCGUCCACUGCGGUUGUGAGUGCGCCGGCCGCGCCCACCUGACCGCUGCUCGCGACAUGUUGUUAGCC
rnacentral:sRNA from 1 species